CAUCUACUCCCUCUGUCCGGAAAUACUUGUCAUUGAAAUGGAUGUAUCUAGAUGUAUUUUAGUUCUAGAUACAUCCAUUUUCAUCCAUUUUGAUGACAAGUAAUUCCGGACGGAGGGAGUAUGUA
rnacentral:pre_miRNA from 1 species